rnacentral:rRNA from 1 species
UAUACAUGCAAGUCGAGCGGACAGAAGGGAGCUUGCUCCCGGAUGUUAGCGGCGGACGGGUGAGUAACACGUGGGUAACCUGCCUGUAAGACUGGGAUAACUCCGGGAAACCGGAGCUAAUACCGGAUAGUUCCUUGAACCGCAUGGUUCAAGGAUGAAAGACGGUUUCGGCUGUCACUUACAGAUGGACCCGCGGCGCAUUAGCUAGUUGGUGAGGUAACGGCUCACCAAGGCGACGAUGCGUAGCCGACCUGAGAGGGUGAUCGGCCACACUGGGACUGAGACACGGCCCAGACUCCUACGGGAGGCAGCAGUAGGGAAUCUUCCGCAAUGGACGAAAGUCUGACGGAGCAACGCCGCGUGAGUGAUGAAGGUUUUCGGAUCGUAAAGCUCUGUUGUUAGGGAAGAACAAGUGCAAGAGUAACUGCUUGCACCUUGACGGUACCUAACCAGAAAGCCACGGCUAACUACGUGCCAGCAGCCGCGGUAAUACGUAGGUGGCAAGCGUUGUCCGGAAUUAUUGGGCGUAAAGGGCUCGCAGGCGGUUUCUUAAGUCUGAUGUGAAAGCCCCCGGCUCAACCGGGGAGGGUCAUUGGAAACUGGGAAACUUGAGUGCAGAAGAGGAGAGUGGAAUUCCACGUGUAGCGGUGAAAUGCGUAGAGAUGUGGAGGAACACCAGUGGCGAAGGCGACUCUCUGGUCUGUAACUGACGCUGAGGAGCGAAAGCGUGGGGAGCGAACAGGAUUAGAUACCCUGGUAGUCCACGCCGUAAACGAUGAGUGCUAAGUGUUA